rnacentral:rRNA from 1 species
GAUGAACGCUGGCGGCGUGCCUAAUACAUGCAAGUCGAGCGAAUGGAUUAAGAGCUUGCUCUUAUGAAGUUAGCGGCGGACGGGUGAGUAACACGUGAGUAACCUGCCCAUAAGACUGGGAUAAAUCCGGGAAACCGGGGCUAAUACCGGAUAACAUUUUGAACCGCAUGGUUCGAAAUUGAAAGGCGGCUUCGGCUGUCACUUAUGGAUGGGCCCGCGUCGCAUUAGCUAGUUGGUGAGGUAACGGCUCACCAAGGCAACGAUGCGUAGCCGACCUGAGAGGGUGAUCGGCCACACUGGGACUGAGACACGGCCCAGACUCCUACGGGAGGCAGCAGUAGGGAAUCUUCCGCAAUGGACGAAAGUCUGACGGAGCAACGCCGCGUGAGUGAUGAAGGCUUUCGGGUCGUAAAACUCUGUUGUUAGGGAAGAACAAGUGCUAGUUGAAUAAGCUGGCACCUUGACGGUACCUAACCAGAAAGCCACGGCUAACUACGUGCCAGCCGCCGCGGUAA